CACAUUUUCAAACAACCAUUCUUUCUUUCUCCUUUUGGAAAAUAAUUAGCAGAUAAAUUAGUGGAUUGUUUUGGACAGUUUAGUUGAAGUAUUUUUUUUUUACACAUUUGUUACAAAUCAUCCCAUGUUUCUUUUCUGUUUUAAUGCCAGGGUUCAGAAUAACCAUGUCGUUAUUUUUGAAGAAAGCUGCAAACUAUUCUGUUUUGAAAUAACACAAUAUCUAUCUAUCUAUCUAUCUAUCUAUCUAUCUAUCUAUCUAUCUAUCUAUCUAUCUAUCUAUCUAUCUAUCUAUCUAUAAUCAUGGUAUUGAUACAGGCUUUUAAAUAGAUCUUUCUAAUUUUACCAAAACAAUUUGGUUUGCUUUGUUUUAUAUCCUAUAUCCUAUAAAUGCUUUUUUUAUAUCAUAACCAUAUUUUUUAAAGCAUAAUACUCAGUAAAUGAAUAAACAAGCUGACCUGCAGCCACAUCUGUUAAUUAAGAGCCGGGCCAUCGGCGGAGCCUCGAUCACAUCAUCUCACUCACACCCGGCGCACAAAAGCGACUUGCGUCCCCGCGCUCUGAUUGGACAGUCCGCAGCACGGCGCUCAGCCGAGCCUGUGAUUGGCCGGUCCGCGGCUGACGUCACUGCAGGAGAGAACAUACUGGGCAGGAUGCUGAGGACUGGUACCAUAGCUGCGCGCCCAGCAUCAUCGGCAUCAUCAUAAUCAAUAUAAUCAAUGCUGCUUUGGAGAGUUUGCCACCUGUUGUAAAUGUUUCAGUGUCAACACGCGUCCAGAAAGACUAGAGCGGCUUAUUUUCAGAAGAAAUCCAUUGUUUGGUAAGCUUGAGAGGCACAUUCAGGGAGCAAAGGAGACAUUGUGGAUUACAGACAUGCUGCAUGUUUCGUGUGUUCCAUGUGCAGUUGAUGAUGAUGAUGAUGCCGUUUGCACGGAGAGAUUGAUGAGAGUCUUAUUUCCAUCCAAAAUAUGGCACAAUAAAGUAACAACAACAAGGGCACAGCCAUCAGAGAGAGAGCGAGAGAGAGAUGCUUGGAGGAACAUUGCUACAUCUUCCCUUCUCCGCCUACCCAGAAAGCCCCAGUGCCAUCUGUACCCCUGUGGGGUGCGGGAGAAUCCGUGCCAGUGCCAGCGGCGACAAAACCCUCAUCAGCGUCCUGGAGCCCCGGCACCAACACAGACGGCACAGGGAGGAAGGGAGGCCAUCUUGACGGAGAUCUUACACAAGAAGCUAAGAUGGCUGGGCUGGCACAUGAGAUGUGGACUGAACUCGGUGGAUUCACACUUUGUUGAAAAUGAGACGAAAAUUGACUAAAUAUUCAUCCAGAGAGAACAAUGGGAGCCUCAAGCACCUGAAAGUUUAAGAGGCACAUAAAAUCAUGUGUGUGUAUAUGAGAGCUAAAGUAUUUUGUGUUUAAUAUAAAAGAUUUGUACUGUACAGUAUUAUACAGUAUUUUCAUUAAGAUUAUAUUUGCAUUUUUUACAGUUGCCUAAAGAUAUUUUUCUUUCUUUCAUAGCUAUUAAAAUGAGAAAUAUUAUGUGCAUCUUAUAUACAUAUAGUUUUGUAUUUUUACAUGUAUGUAUUUCCUGUUUUUAUGUUUGUUUUUUUCUGAUUUUUUUAUUUUGAUUUAAUUUUAUUUAUAAAUAAAAAAUUAUACUGUAUAUUGUAUUAUACGGAUGAAUAAAACUGUGAUUCAAAAGUGAAUGAUAUGAAUCAGCUUUGUAUUUGCAUUUUAUUGACGUCAGAUUGUGUCACACCUGGCAAGCCACUGAAGAGUUAAUUACUGUGAGUUAAUUAGCUUAAUUUGUAGGCUACAUAUAAAACACUUGUAGCCUAUAUUUUUUAGAAUGAUGUUCAUCCCGAAGGUCAGAUUUCAACGUGCAUCGUUAUGAAAGGUCUGUGUUUUAGUUACAAGGUUCUAAAUAAAAUAUUUUAAUAAGAACCCUUGAAAUAUAAUAAAUGACUUUAGCACGAUUAAUUUCCAAUCCAAUUUUGUUUUAAAAAUUUAAAAUAGAAACACACAUCCUGCAAAAGUGAUGUAAUUUUUCGUGAAAACGCCAGUGUUAUAAUUUACUAUGAAUUGAAAUGGCUGUAAUUAGAUAUAUGUAUUGUUUUUGUUUUAUUUUUAUUAUAAAACCACACACACACACACACACACACACACACACACACACACGCGUAUAAUAGGGCUUGGGCGUCGUGACGUCAUUACUUGGCGUGGCCGCCAUGCUGAUGGCCUCCUUUACUGCUACUCGGACUACUGCGCAGUGUUUAGACAUACUCCCUCUCAGCCGUGUGUCUUAAUUUGAUUAAUUAAAAAUCUAUUUCAACCAUGGUAAACCGUUGCUGUAUUGUGGGGUGUAAUAGCGCAACACAUAAUCGCCCUUUGAAAAAAAAUGGAUUAACUUGCCACUGCUUUCCUGCUUGGAGGCGCGACCACGGAGACCAAGUGAGGUAUAAUAUCUGAAUAUUAAUUUAUAUAGCUUAAGUAAACACUGAAAAUAAGGGAAAUUUCCUGGGCUACUCAUCCAAAAAACCGGAAAAUUUCUACAUUCAUCUUUCUGUUGCUGUCCCUCUGCUGACAGCAAAAAUUCGUACUACAAAACUGCUGCAUUAACUAAGCGAGAUUGUGAAGCUAUGUCUAACGUGACUUUGCUUACAUUGGUGUGAAAUCCUGCUCUCACAACAACCACGCUGUUAUCUUAACAAAGGCCAAUAUCACGCUAAGGUUGCUUUCAAGUAACGUUAAGCAAAACGAUGGUUUAAAAAUAUCUGUUUUGCUGGAAGGGCAACUGUGUAGCAACAGGACAACAGUCCGAUGGAAGGGCUAACGGGAUAUUUUACAGGAAAAUACUACAACGGGAAAAGAGCUCAAAUACACGAGAACCCCGGAAAAAAACGGGAGCGUUGACAGCUACUAACUAAACUUUUGAAACACAUAAGUUAGUUAAAAGUACAUGUGAAUGGUUGUUAGCACUAACGGUAACUAAACUAGCAACUAGGCGGAGUGCAGUUUACCUUUGUCUGGAUUACUGUAUACUGUUUGCCGGCUUUAUGAUCUGCAGCUCCCUAACCCAUCCAUUUGUGAACUGCACAUGAGACUCCAAUGACUUGUAGCUUCGGAACUGUUCUGAAGUGUAGGCGCUCACAAAACAAACAAGGUAGCCGAAGAUAUCUGUAAUGCAAAAGUGCGGCAGCAACUCGUCGUCGGUGCUCCACUCUUUGUUGGGAUUUUCAUAUUGAUCCAAACCGUUAAUAGUGCCGAUUUUGUCCACAUACCGAUCCCUGGCAUCCCUACUUAGCGUAUCCCUGUAAAUCCCACAACCUUUUCGCGAUUUUAACAUAUUUUUUCUUUCUCCCAACUCUGUUUCUUCUCGUUCGACUUGCUGUAUGUUUACAUUCACGACGCCAUCAACAUGGCCGCCACGUCCCAGAAUGCAACGCGGCGCCCAAGCCCUAUUCUCGUUCAGGCUAUAGCCUAUCAAUUUCUCUAAUUCCUCGUGGGUUCAUGCAAAUGACUGAGAAUUUCUCUAUCAGUGACCUCUGUGCCAGCUAGCAGUAAGUGUUAAUUAGCCAAUGAAUAGAGGAGAUGUGAAGACCACGCGAAUUCACUAAUCCUACUAUGGCGAAGGAUUUCCAAUUCAUAUUCAUAAACGAAGCUUUCGACAUUUGGAAGGAUACCGAGCAACGUCAGCACGACCCACUUAGUAUUCAAGACACAAACGCUCCUCAUUGGAAGGUUACGAAUUAACGUCAGCGAAAUCAAAUAAAUAUUCAAGACAAGCUUGCACCAUUGGAAGCUGUAGCAAGAGACGUCGAAGGGCCUACUUAAUAUUCAAGAGCUAAGCUUUUGCCAUGGUAGGAUUCAUAAAUUCUCGUCAAGGAAAGGAUUUUCGUAAGAGACACUAUAAAAUAAGAUGUGUAUAUGUGUGUACAGCUGUGGAAAUGAAGAAGAAGAAAAGAUCUGCAUUAUUAAGUAGCCUACCUUUACAUAUAAGGAGCACAAACGCUUUUAAAAUAUGUUACUAAUUAUGUUAUUUAAAAGAAAUGUAGCUUCUGUGUCCCUCAGUAUCCUUCGUUGACAAAAUAGACCAAACGUAAAUUAGAUUCACGUUGAUUAACAAUAUUUCAGAUUAUUAAAAUGAUGGAAGAUUAUAGACUGUAUAAGAACUAUCACACUUUUCAAACACCAUAGACAAAUGUGAUCUUG
ensembl:lncRNA